GUAGGGGGCAAGCGUUGUUCGGAAUUACUGGGCGUAAAGGGCGCGUAGGCGGCAUGGCAAGUCAGGAGUGAAAGGCCUGGGCCCAACCGAGGAACUGCUUUUGAUACUGCCAAGCUAGAGUGCGGAAGGGGCAACUGGAAUUCCCAGUGUAGCGGUGAAAUGCGUAGAUAUUGGGAAGAACACCUGAGGCGAAGGCGGGUUGCUGGGCCGACACUGACGCUGAGGCGCGAAAGCCAGGGGAGCAAACGGGAUUAGAUACCCCGGUAGUCCACGCCCUAAACGAUGGAUACUAGGCGUAAGAGGUAUCGACCCCUCUUGUGCCGCAGCUAACGCAUUAAGUAUCCCGCCUGGGGACUACGGCCGCAAGGUUG
rnacentral:rRNA from 1 species